rnacentral:lncRNA from 1 species
UCUUUCUUUCUUUCUUUUUCUUUUUUUUUAUUUUGUGGUACUGGGGAUUGAACCCAGAGGCACUUAAACACUGAGCCACAUGCCCAGCCCUUUUUUGUAUUUUACUUAGAGACAGGAUCUCACUGAGUUGCUUAGACCCUUGCUAAAUUGCUGAGGCCGGCUUUGAAUUUGCAAUCCUUCUGCCUUAGCCUCCCGAGCUGCCGGGAUUACAGGCCCUCCAAUUCUUUCUUCACACCAGAACAACCUUACCUAUACCAACCCUAAUAAUUUUGUUUUCAUGAUUGAAAAAAAAUAUUCAGCUGGCUUCCCUAUCUAUAAAAUACAUAUGAGAUGUGGCAUCAGAAUUUUUAUCACCUCUCCAAAAGCAAACACACAUACCCAACAAACACUCCAUACCAACAGAACUGUCUUCCUUUCUUAGUGCAUACCAGUCUCUUUUACACUUCCUACCUUGGCAUAAACGAACCUAUUGGCAGACCUAUGCCACAAACGAACACAAUAUUUUUUUUCCUGUUCUACACCUUAGGUCUGGCUAACUCAUCUUCAAGACUAAAGUCACAUGCUAGAUUCAGCUCCAGGAUGCCUUCUUUAAUUGUCCCUCUCUACCCCUGCAUUUGUAUUAUAACCCAACUAUGUCACAUAGUUAUUUGUUACCCCACUAUGUAGGGAGUAUCCCUUGAGAGCAAUAACUUCAUUUUAUGACUUUGUAUUCCCAGCUUCUAGUCCAGGGCUUAUGAAUAGAGUGGUCAUUUUUCAGUAAACAUGAUGAAUAAAUAAAUGAACUAUUUUUUUGGUGCUAAGGGACAAUAAUAGGAGAUUAUAGUGAAAUAAAUUAUUACUUUGCAAAAUAAAGACUCUAGGGCUUUUUUUAUAUUUAUUUUUGUAGUUGUAGUUGAACACAAUAACUAUUUUUAUGUG